CCCAGGUCAGGCGAGGCCAC
rnacentral:rRNA from 1 species